GUGUUGUAUGAAAGGAGACAAGGUUAGCACUCCCCUUGAUAAGGAUGGAAGAGGCCCUUGUGGCCUGUAAAACACACAUAUGGUUAAGGCAUUUCCACCCAAUUUGUGUCAUCUAAUCAUGUUUUUUC
rfam:Colius striatus contig46116, whole genome shotgun sequence.